GAUGAACGCUGGCGGCGUGCCUAAUACAUGCAAGUCGAGCGAACAGACGAGGAGCUUGCUCCUCUGACGUUAGCGGCGGACGGGUGAGUAACACGUGGAUAACCUACCUAUAAGACUGGGAUAACUUCGGGAAACCGGAGCUAAUACCGGAUAAUAUAUUGACCCGCUGGGUCCAUUGUUGAAGACCGUUUUGGUUGUCCCUUAUGGAUGUAUCGCGACGCAUUAGCUAGUUGGUUAGGUUAAGGCCUACCAAAGCAACGAUGCGUAGCCCACCUUAGAGGGUGAUCGGCCACACUGGAACUGAGACACGGUCCAGACUCCUACGGGAGGCAGCAGUAGGGAAUCUUCCGCAAUGGGCGAAAGCCUGACGGAGCAAAGCCGCGUGAGGGAUGAAGGUCUUCGGAUCGGAAAACUCUGUUAUUAGGGAAGAACAAAUGUGUAAGUAACUAUGCACGUCUUGACGGUACCUAAUCAGAAAGCCACGGCUAACUACGUG
rnacentral:rRNA from 1 species